AAUGAACGCUGGCGGCAUGCCUAACACAUGCAAGUCGAACGAAGGCUUCGGCCUUAGUGGCGCACGGGUGCGUAACGCGUGGGAAUCUGCCCUUGGGUUCGGAAUAACUUCCCGAAAGGGAUGCUAAUACCGGAUGAUGUCGUAAGACCCAAGAUUUAUCGCCCAAGGAUGAGUCCGCGUAGGAUUAGCUAGUUGGUGGGGUAAAGGCCCACCAAGGCGACGAGCCUUAGCUGGUCUGAGAGGAUGAUCAGCCACACUGGGACUGAGACCCAGCCCAGACUCCUACGGGAGGGAGCAGUGGGGAAUAUUGGACAAUGGGCGAAAGCCUGAUCCAGCAAUGCCGCGUGAGUGAUGAAGGCCUUAGGGUUGUAAAGCUCUUUUACCCGGGAUGAUAAUGACAGUACCGGGAGAAUAAGCUCCGGCUAACUCCGUGCCAGCCGCCGCGGUAAAAC
rnacentral:rRNA from 1 species